CAUGUCUAAGAGCUGAGUCCAAGCCCCAACAACAAAAACAAAAACACAGAUGGCCAUCUGUAAUACAGAAGAGCCUACACCAGGAGCCAAAUUUGCUCAUCAUCUUAAUUUUGGAUUCUCCAGCCUUUUAGACUUGAAUGGCUACAACAAACUUUCUAGAACAGUGAGGGAAUAAAUACUUUUCCAUUGUUUGUGCACCCAAAAAAAAGAAACAAACAUUAAGUGUAUCACUUAUGUCUAAUGGCUCUAUUAUUUAGUUCCUAUUUGUUUCCUCUGCAAAUUAAGAGCUGUGUUUUUAAAGUCCUAAUAUGAAGAAUCUGUUGGAAGAAAAAUGAAGAGUCGAAAGGCCUCUGAUGUUCCUCUAAACUCUAGAUCCCUAUCUGCAAGACUGCAAGAGGCAUUUAUUGACGAUGCUAUUAACAACCUGCCCUCAAGUUGCACUGCAUGAGCCCGAG